GCUAAUCCUGCUUGGAUGCCUUUCGGUAUGCCGAACAGUGUCCACAGUGGCACUGCAGGUACUUGGUGGAGCUCCCCCGCUUGAUCUGGCUGCUAAGUUAUUAGCGGUCAAAUACAAGCUAAAACGUGGAUUCCCGCUGGAGGAGAACGACUGGCUUUACGGCGAGGACAUUGCGUGUCUUAGCUGGGAGCAGAGGAAGACUCGCCUAGAGGAGUGUUUAAUCCAGAGUUGGCAGAACAGAUGGGACGACGACAGCGAACCAGGACGGGUGACGCAUAGGUUUAUCCCAUACGUCACUCUUGCCUAUCGGGAUUCAAGUUUUGGAUUCUCGAUGAGGACGUCUUUCCUGCUUACAGGGCACGGGUCGUUCAAUGCAUUUUUGCACGGGAGAGCCCUCAGCGAUACCACUGCUUGCGCAUGUGGAGAUCCAUAUGAGGACUGGAUGCACAUUUUGUGCGCUUGCCCCCUAUAUGCAGAUCUGCGGGACCUAGAUGGACUUGGAGUGCAGCGCCUUGGCGAAAACUGGAUCUUCGAGGGAAUCCUGGAUGAUCAAGAGAAGACUCAACGGCUGGCAAUGUUUGCGGAAGAAGUGUUCCUGAGGAGGAGGGGCGUUUAGCUCAACAUCUCUGCCGUGUGGUUAGCGGGCGAGAAUACUACCACAGUCCGCUGUUGCUUGUCGUAAGAGACGACUAAUACAGCGAUAGGAUUCCUCUAACCCUGCUUGUCGGAGCAAAAGGGGGAGGCCCACCGAGCCUCUUUUCGGUACCACGGGUUGAGCAGCUAUCCAAGACUGCUCAUUGAGGUAGGCCCCCUGGUGGGAGUAUCGUGGUGGCUGUGGUUGGUACCCAUAUCGCGGGUAGAGCCUUCAUGCUCGACGUUUGAGUUACGGUGCUAGUUGCGCAAAACUCGGGUGCUGUGACCCAGAGAUCAGUAGAGAUUUUAGGUAGAUCUCGCUCCUCAGCAAGGGGGAGUGCUUGCCCGGCAAGCAAGUACUCGAAUUGCUACCGGGGUGGUCGCUAUGUACAUAGCUAUAGCUUCUAGUCCGGGACGCUUGUCUGGCGUAUCCAGACACAUGCACCAUAUGCUCACUUGUGGGCGUAUAGGGUGCCGUGGUUGUAAUCCCUUCAGUGUGGAACACGCCACGUAAAAUAAGUUCGGAGGGAUCCGAAAAGCAUACAUACAUUGUCCCUAUCUACUAUCUAGCGAAACCACAGCCAAGGGAACGGGCUUGGAAUAAUUAGCGGGGAAAGAAGACCCUUUUGAGCUUGACUCUAAUCUGGCAGUGUAAGGAGACAUAAGAGGUGUAGAAUAAGUGGGAGAUAUUAGACCUCGGUUUGGUAUCGUCAAUGAAAUACCACUACUCUUAUUGUUUCCUUACUUACUUGAUUAAAUGGAACGUGUAUCAUUUCCUAGCCAUUAUACGGAUAUAUUUAUUAUAUCUUAUGGUAUUGGGUUUUGAUGCAAGCUUCUUGAUCAAAGUAUCACGAGUUUGUUAUAUAAUCGCAAACAAAUUCUUUAAUAAAACGAUGCAUUUAUGUAUUUUUGAUUUGAAAAUUUGGUAUAACUCCAAUUACUCAGGUAUGAUCCAAUUCAAGGACAUUGCCAGGUAGGGAGUUUGACUGGGGCGGUACAUCUCUCAAAUAAUAACGGAGGUGUCCCAAGGCCAGCUCAGUGCGGACAGAAACCACACAUAGAGCAAAAGGGCAAAUGCUGACUUGAUCUCGGUGUUCAGUACACACAGGGACAGCAAAAGCUCGGCCUAUCGAUCCUUUUGGUUUAAAGAGUUUUUAACAAGAGGUGUCAGAAAAGUUACCAUAGGGAUAACUGGCUUGUGGCGGCCAAGCGUUCAUAGCGACGUCGCUUUUUGAUCCUUCGAUGUCGGCUCUUCCUAUCAUUGUGAAGCAAAAUUCACCAAGCGUUGGAUUGUUCACCCAUGCAAGGGAACGUGAGCUGGGUUUAGACCGUCGUGAGACAGGUUAGUUUUACCCUACUAAUGACAAAACGUUGUUGCGACAGCAUUCCUGCGUAGUACGAGAGGAACCGCAGGUACGGACCAAUGGCACAAUACUUGUUCGAGCGAACAGUGGUAUGACGCUACGUCCGUUGGAUUAUGCCUGAACGCCUCUAAGGUCGUAUCCGUGCUGGACUGCAAUGAUAAAUAAGGGGCAAUUUGCAUUGUAUGGCUUCUAAACCAUUUAAAGUUUAUAAUUUACUUUAUAAACGACAAUGGAUGUGAUGCCAAUGUAAUUUGUAACAUAGUAAAUUGGGAGGAUCUUCGAUCACCUGAUGCCGCGCUAGUUACAUAUAAAAGCAUUAUUU
rnacentral:rRNA from 1 species